UACGUAGGGGGGCUAGCGUUGUCCGGAAUCAUUGGGCGUAAAGCGCGCGUAGGCGGCCAGAUAAGUCCGGUGUGAAAGUCACAGGCUCAACCUGUGAAUGCCGCUGGAAACUGUCUGGCUUGAGUCCGGAAGGGGCGAGUGGAAUCCUGGUGUAGCGGUGAAAUGCGCAGAUAUCAGGAGGAACACCAAUGGCGAAGGCAGCUCGCUGGAACGGUACUGACGCUGAGGCGCGAAAGC
rnacentral:rRNA from 1 species